ACGAUUCUGACAGAAACAACCGGCGCACAAUAAACAGUUAUCUUUUGACUCGGCUUUGGCCACAGCCCUUAAAGAUUUGAAGCUAAAAUUCAACUUGAAAGAUAAACAAAAGACGGCACUUAAGUGUUUCAUUGAGAAGAAAGACGUAUUUGGACUUAUGCCGACGGGAUAUGGCAAAUCCUUAAUAUACCAGUUGGCUCUGCGGCUCCGCUGGUUGGGAAGCUAAUGGGACUUAGCCACAAUCUGCCGGUGCUCUCGGAACUACGUCAGCCUAUUCGUUACGUUGAUUGGUUGUAUACCUACCCAAUUGCUGCAGAGGGAUUUGAUGGACAACCUUUUAGCCCGCCUCCCUCCCUGUCGAGCUUCCCUAGACCCUUGUGCCGUCAGAAACAUGGGAUCUAGCAUGGCUAGGCUAGGUUUGAGCGGUACCGUUUCGUAAUCGUUUCAAGUCCAUAAUCGACAUAAACAACCUAAUCUGUCCUUACAUUUACAUUACCAACUGCAGUCAUGCUCUCACAUCCAGCAGAUAUUGUGUGUUGCGCUGCGGUUCUUUGCAAAUGGAAGUUUUUAUAUAAUAUCGGAGAUGCAGAGCACUACAGUAAGACAACUGUAUGCAGGACAGUCAGAAAAGUUUUCCUGGCUCUGAAACGACUUUUACUCAUCAUUGUGGACAUAAACCUGUCAGAACACCAAGAGGAGUUCCACAGAAUUGCAGGAUUUCCCACUGUGAAUAGCUGCAUAGAUGCACACACAUCCCCAUCACAGCUCCCUCACAUCAUGAAUAGGAAGUCCAUUCACAACAUAAAUGUGCAGAUCAUAUGUGAUGCUGCAUACAUCAUUUCUAAUGUGGAGGCCAAGUGGUCUGGGUCUGUUCAUGACUCCAGGAUUUAUGGAGAGUCUAACCUGAGCAACAGACUGCAGCAUGGAGAGUUUGAUGGCCUUCUGCUGGGUGACAGGGGUUACCAUGCCAACCCCGGCUGAUGACCUCAUACCCUGACCCUGAACCAGGCCCCCAACAGAACUUCAACCGGACUCACUGCAGGACCAGAGCCCAGGUGGAGAUGGCUAUAGGCCUGCUGAAAGCCCGUUUCCAGAGCCUACGUCUCCUCAGGGUGACCCCUGAGAGGGCCUGUGAUAUUACUGUGGCAUGUGUUGUUCUUCAUAAUAUUACUAUUAGAGGAGAGCAACACCCUGCCCUACAAACUGAAGACCCAGAUGAUGACCCCAUCCACCUGCAGCUAUCCAGGACAGCAGAGCAGUCAGAGACACCGUAUGCAAUAAUCACUUUAGAGUUUAAGUCACCAUCUACAAUUCUACAAUUUCAUUUGGCAGAUGCUUUUGUCCAAAGCGACGUACAACACAAGCAAGAAUUCAGACAUAAGGAAAAACCUGUAGUAAGUGCAAAAAGUGUUUCAAGUGCGAUUGGUCAAAGGUUGCAGAAGAAUUGCCAACCCCCCCCCCCCUUUUUUUUUAAAUCUUUGUCAGCGCUAAAUAAAUGCUGGGUUUUGGACCACCUGACUUAUUCUACCCCUAAGGUAGAGUCAGAUUAAGUGCCUAUGUGUUCUCUAAACAAUUGAGUCUUCAAUUGUCUUUAAAAGUAGAAAGGGACUCAGCAGAAUGCACAGAGUUUGAUAAUUUGCUCCACCAUUUGGAAACAACAGAGGAGAAGAGUCUGGCUAGAGAUAUCGAGGGUUUUGGACCACCUGACUUAUUCUACCCCUAAGGUGGAGUCAGAUUAAGUGUCUAGGUGUUCUCUGAACAAUUGAGUCUUCAAUUGUCUCUUGAAAGUAGUCACCAUCAUCACCACCACAGCAAAUAAAGACAUGAUACACA